AGACCCGAAGGGAGUAUAGGUCCACUGUCCGUUAAACAAGCAAAUAUCCCAUCCCAACCGAACUUAUAUGAUUGUGGAGUUAUCAUGUUAAAAGCCAUGGAAAUGUGGGAUGGAGAGGAUAGAUACAACGG